GAUUAAGUUAUUAAGGGCGCACGGUGGAUGCCUUGGCACUAGAAGCCGAUGAAGGACGUUACUAACGACGAUAUGCUUUGGGGAGCUGUAAGUAAGCUUUGAUCCAGAGAUUUCCGAAUGGGGAAACCCAACAUGAGUUAUGUCAUGUUAUCGAUAUGUGAAUACAUAGCAUAUCAGAAGGCACACCCGGAGAACUGAAACAUCUUAGUACCCGGAGGAAGAGAAAGAAAAUUCGAUUCCCUUAGUAGCGGCGAGCGAAACGGGAAGAGCCCAAACCAACAAGCUUGCUUGUUGGGGUUGUAGGACACUCUAUACGGAGUUACAAAGGACGACAUUAGACGAAUCAUCUGGAAAGAUGAAUCAAAGAAGGUAAUAAUCCUGUAGUCGAAAAUGUUGUCUCUCUUGAGUGGAUCCUGAGUACGACGGAGCACGUGAAAUUCCGUCGGAAUCUGGGAGGACCAUCUCCUAAGGCUAAAUACUCUCUAGUGACCGAUAGUGAACCAGUACCGUGAGGGAAAGGUGAAAAGCACCCCGGAAGGGGAGUGAAAUAGAACCUGAAACCGUGUGCUUACAAGUAGUCAGAGCCCGUUAAUGGGUGAUGGCGUGCCUUUUGUAGAAUGAACCGGCGAGUUACGAUUUGAUGCAAGGUUAAGCAGUAAAUGUGGAGCCGUAGCGAAAGCGAGUCUGAAUAGGGCGUUUAGUAUUUGGUCGUAGACCCGAAACCAGGUGAUCUACCCUUGGUCAGGUUGAAGUUCAGGUAACACUGAAUGGAGGACCGAACCGACUUACGUUGAAAAGUGAGCGGAUGAACUGAGGGUAGCGGAGAAAUUCCAAUCGAACCUGGAGAUAGCUGGUUCUCUCCGAAAUAGCUUUAGGGCUAGCCUCAAGUGAUGAUUAUUGGAGGUAGAGCACUGUUUGGACGAGGGGCCCCUCUCGGGUUACCGAAUUCAGACAAACUCCGAAUGCCAAUUAAUUUAACUUGGGAGUCAGAACAUGGGUGAUAAGGUCCGUGUUCGAAAGGGAAACAGCCCAGACCACCAGCUAAGGUCCCAAAAUAUAUGUUAAGUGGAAAAGGAUGUGGCGUUGCCCAGACAACUAGGAUGUUGGCUUAGAAGCAGCCAUCAUUUAAAGAGUGCGUAAUAGCUCACUAGUCGAGUGACACUGCGCCGAAAAUGUACCGGGGCUAAACAU
rnacentral:rRNA from 1 species